GCGUGUGUAAAGAAGGCCUUAUGGUUGUAAAGCACUUUAAGCGAGGAGGAGGCUACUUUAGUUAAUACCUAGAGAUAGUGGACGUUACUCGCAGAAUAAGCACCGGCUAACUCUGUGCCAGCAGCCGCGGUAAUACAGAGGGUGCGAGCGUUAAUCGGAUUUACUGGGCGUAAAGCGUGCGUAGGCGGCUUAUUAAGUCGGAUGUGAAAUCCCCGAGCUUAACUUGGGAAUUGCAUUCGAUACUGGUGAGCUAGAUUAUGGGAGAGGAUGGUAGAAUUCCAGGUGUAGCGGUGAAAUGCGUAGAGAUCUGGAGGAAUACCGAUGGCGAAGGCAGCCAUCUGGCCUAAUACUGACGCUGAGGUACGAAAGCAUGGGGAGCAAACAGGAUUAGAUACCCUGGUAGUCCAUGCCGUAAACGAUGUCUACUAGCCGUUGGGGCCUUUGAGGCUUUAGUGGCGCAGCUAACGCGAUAAGUAGACCGCCUGGGGAGUACGGUCGCAAGACUAAAACUCAAAUGAAUUGACGGGGGCCCGCACAAGCGGUGGAGCAUGUGGUUUAAUUCGAUGCAACGCGAAGAACCUUACCUGGCCUUGACAUACUAGAAACUUUCCAGAGAUGGAUUGGUGCCUUCGGGAAUCUAGAUACAGGUGCUGCAUGGCUGUCGUCAGCUCGUGUCGUGAGAUGUUGGGUUAAGUCCCGCAACGAGCGCAACCCUUUUCCUUACUUGCCAGCAUUUCGGAUGGGAACUUUAAGGAUACUGCCAGUGACAAACUGGAGGAAGGCGGGGACGACGUCAAGUCAUCAUGGCCCUUACGGCCAGGGCUACACACGUGCUACAAUGGUCGGUACAAAGGGUUGCUACACAGCGAUGUGAUGCUAAUCUCAAAAAGCCGAUCGUAGUCCGGAUUGGAGUCUGCAACUCGACUCC
rnacentral:rRNA from 1 species